CAUUGUUUAAAAGCCAAAAACAAGCAAAUUCAACACUAAUCAACGGUCCCUUUGAAAUCCCUAUCCUGCCCUCAACACUGUUUUUCCUUUUGCUAAUCUUGUUUCCAUCUAACAUGCCAAAUCCUCAUCCUUUUACUGAUCUUCUCAAUCCUUUCUCUCCAUUUUCCUUUACCAUCAUCUGCACCUGAUUUUCUCGCUACAUCCGUCUCCUGAUAUUUUUACUGAUUAAAGACAAAAGGUUUUCGACAAUGGAGUAUACUGGUGUCCUCCUCUUGAAGCUUUUGACAAUGGAGUGUACCGGCGUCCUCCUCCUGAUUUCAUUACUUUUUGGGUUGAAUUUGGUUUUUGCCAUUGAAAGUGAGGGUAUUUAGGUACCCAAGUGGAAGAAGAGAAGACACUAAUGUGCCCUAGCCGCCUCCCAUGAGGCAUUACUCUUUCCAACAUCAAGCCUGGAUUUGAUACGACAUGAUUUUAAUUGGGAAUUCCAGAGCGUAAAAGCCCAUCCUUGAAUUGGGAAUUCCAUCGGCCUAGCUUGGAUGUUGAAUUGUGAAUUUCAUUGCCAAUCUUUAGUAGUUACAAACUAACCUACUGGCUAUGUUUGGCAAUAUGAUAAUUAUAAUUUCAUUGAAGCAUUGUAUCCAAUACUACUUCCUCUUGAGUCCUUAAUACUAUUUGAAUGAAUAUCUUGAAUUGGUGCAACUAUCAAUUGAGUUAUUUGUAAGGGAACAAAACACGACUAGAUUUUUCUUUUUGCUAUUUUUUUUAUUAAAUCAUUGCAAGUCAAGUUUAAUUUUGGUUUCCUUUUGAUUAUUAAAAGAAUUUGUAAUUUUGCUAUUCUUUAAAAAAGUAGACCUCCAAAUAGCAACAUAGUUGCAAUUAUUUUUGUUUGUUAUAAUGAUGUAUGUUGUUUCAGGUAUUGGGACUAGUAUCAAAUCAUUUCGUUUCUUAAUCGCCGUAAUUUUAAAUUUCAAUUUUUAUUUUUCGUCACCCUUUUCAUUUUAUUGCUACUUAUAUUUUAAAUUAAUUUAAUAAAAUAACAAAACCGCCCUUAGACUUAAAAAUUUUAAAAUUUUUAUAAAACGCUUUUAAAGAGGGUAUUAAAUGAGCUAUUACCGCUACCCAGCGUUUUUAAUGGGCACACGCAUUUGAUAACGAAUCAGCAAUCGAGGAUAAGACAAGUUCUG